AAGGUAGCACAAUCACUUGUUCUUUAAAUAAGGACUAGUAUGAAUGGCAUCACGAGGAUUAAACUGUCUCCCCCACCUAGUCAAUGAAACUGACCUCCCCGUGAAGAAGCGGGGAUAAAUAUAUAAGACGAGAAGACCCUAUGGAGCUUUAAACAUAACACCACCCACCUAAGCCCAUUUCAUAAAAAACAGGUGGAGCUUGUGUGCGUUUUCAGUUGGGGUGACUGCGGAGCAAAAUAAAACCUCCACGAUGAAAUCCUCUAAUCCAAGAAUAACAAUUCAAAGAAUCAACAAAUUGACAUCAAUUGACCCAAACAAUAAUUUGAUCAACGAACUAAGUUACCCUAGGGAUAACAGCGCAAUCCACUUCAAGAGCUCAUAUCGACAAGUGGGUUUACGACCUCGAUGUUGGAUCAGGGUAUCCCAGUGGUGCAGCCGCUACUAA
rnacentral:rRNA from 1 species